AUGGUAGGACGAAGUGUUAUAUUAUGAUUGCUGUAUGAAGUAAAAAUCUUCGAUACAUUUUGUAAAUCUAUAUUUACGGAAUGUAUAAAUAUUACUAUUAUUUUGUCAGUUAUCUUUUGUGUCACUGAUAUUUUACGAGUACAACACUCUUCAAACCGAAUAAGACAAAAACCUGAAGAUUAAUGAUAAAUGAAAAAUAAAAUGAAUGAUAAAUUAAAAAUAUCCAGUUGAAAAUUUCUGCAAAUCUCACAUAGGGUAAAACACCCAGUAGUCAGCCUUUUAGUGGGAUUCUUAACUUGAUUCACCUGUAUUUUUAAAAAUAAAAGACUUUAAAUGAAAAAAAUUUUUUUUACAGAAAGUUUGUUUAUUAAAUUUACUAAAGAGAUACAAUUUUUUUUUAAAUUUUGAUAGAAUUAUAUAAAAAAUCAAUAUUAAACAAAAUAUGGCACUUUUUACCGGUAGUCAGCCUCAUUUCUCCACAAGUCAGCCAUGUCUUACCCUAUAGUCAGCCUUUUACUUAUUAUUGCACAUUGGACAUACAAAUUCUUUAUUAUAGACAUUUUCGUAGUCUUCACCUGCAAAUAUAGUUCAUUUUAAAUGAUACCACGCAGGACAAUUGUCACAAUCAAUAUUUUUGAAGUCGUUUAUAUCUGUGUCAUUAGUCAACUCCUCUUCACACGAAUCGCAUCUUAUUCUGUUUACUGUGCAUGUCGUACUUUUCUUCUUACUUAUAUUUUUUUGGACAUCAAAAACUUUUGAGCUUUCCUUUUUUGUAAUUCUUCUUCCUUCUUUUGUCUUUCUUCUUCAGUCUUUUUUAGCUUCCAUUCUUUUCUGCUUUUUAAUCAAUAUUUCGUUCUUUUUCUGUUCAUGAACAUGCUUCGACGCAGUUUAUAUCUUCUUGCGUAUUAAAUUCAGAUGCUCCUGUUUCCUGGACUUCAUGAUUUUGUUGCAAGACUUCGAAGUCUGUUAUGAAUUCGAAGUCAUUUAAGGGUACUUUCGGUUAAAUUAAUGAAAUUAUUGUCCAAUGUGCAAUCCCCUAUAAUUGGCAAACUAACAUGAAGAAUUUCAACUGAUUCUGACGCUAUUUUUAGAAUCAAUAGAUUUUGAGGUAUCGAUUUGGACGGCCUGGCUAAUUGAAUUUACUGUAGAAUUUAAACUUUCAGUACCGACCACAUUCUUUGCUCUGUUUAAAACAUCGAUAGCGAUUUUGAUUCUCUUAACUCCGGAUUUCGUUUAAGAAAUGAGUUCAAUUUCUUCCCUGGCCUAUUAUUUACAAAUGGGUCAGGUCUGUUUUCUUGGGAAAUAAUAUUAUGGACGGUAUAAAGGAUCAUCACAUUUAAAGGGAAGCCACAUUCUGCCAAAGCAAUGCACCAGUCUUUCAAGGCAGUUUCUUCGUCUUUGGUAAGUACUAAGUCCGCUCCCAUUUUACGAGGUGCUUCUGGGACUCUUAAAUGCAGGCGAUCUUGUAAAGUACCUCGUGGUACGCUAAAAACUCGACUAGGUAGCUUCUCUAAUCUUCAUCCCGUUUCUGAUCGCGGCCAUAGCCUAUGACAACUGCUCUUCUUUGUACUGGUGGAUUGGUCGUUUUGACAUUAUGAAACUCUAGAAUAUAAGAUUUUAACUUGAUCCUUAUUAAAAUGCAUUAAAGUUCAAUAUUACACAAUAGAACUAACGGCCGACUAUAGGAGUUAAUAGUCCAUUAGUCAGCCCUCAGCAUAUAUUUUACUUUUAUACACGGCUGACUACUGGUAAAAUAAUAUUUUGGUCAUCUAAGAGUUAUAUUCAAUCCAAAGCAAAUAACAAGGACUAUUCUCUGUGUUAAUUUCGACGAAUUCUAAGAAAAUCGUAAAAAACCAGUAGUCAGCCCCUUGCUGCUGACUUCUGGAUCAACCUUAACAAAUCGUAACCCAGAAGUCGGCCCCCUAAAUUGAAACGAAAUAAACAUAUAAAAUGCCUCUAAUGCUUAAUGUUAUCGUAGAAAAAACAUUAUACAACAACAUAACAUAAAAAUCUACCAGCAAUUAGAACAAAUUCAUAGAAAAACUUACCAAAACCUCGAACACGUUUCCUUACGAAAAAAAUAGCAAAAGUGACACAUCCUGUCCUUUCGUUGGCGGCAGUGGAAAUGAACGAGUACAGAGGUUCAACCUGUCACGCUAUCGGUUCUUAGAUGUGCACAGUAACCAGCAAGAGAGCAUAGAUUUGAUUAAACGUUAUUUCAAUGGUGUAAGUCCAUUUCAACACUAUUUAUACCAAAAUAAAACCCAUAAAGGCUGAGUACUGGUGCGGGGCUGACUUCUGGGGGUUUUACCCUAUACAAGCUACAAUGUCUAUUUUUUUUUUAUCAUUCGUAAGAAACAGAAUGAAUGUACAGUCGUUCACUACUGAAUUAUUCAUUUAGUAUGAUCACGAACUGCGAACGCAAUAUACGUCUUCAGGUGAAAGUUAAUUGAAGAUAUCUGAGACACAUAUUUCAAAGAUAAUGCAUGAAGCUAAAGCAACACGGACUGCGAUUGUGACUUACGAUGCUUGGUAACGAGUCAACGACCCUGUUAGUUACUGAUGAUUGGCUUUUUGAUAUUUUGAAUUCUGUUGAGGAUCUAAAACUUCUGAAUAUAUUCACUUGGCUGUUAGAUAGUAUGUUAUUUUCUUAAAAUAUAAUUGUAUAAUGAAUGAGACGCAACUUUUUCGUAAUUAAUAAAAGUAUAAUCUGAAAAAUAGUACUAAUCACAAAAUCACAAAAAUGUUCUAGUAUCCGUUCUCGACUGAAAUACAUUUUAUUAUUAUUCGCUAAUAAGACACACCAUCUUGGCGCCAAAAGGCUAACUGUACUUAUUCGUUACUAGCUAUAUAAUACAUAUGUAGUUAUCGACGACAAUACUGAUAGCACUGACUGAAUCAAUACCGGACUGGCGACAGCGUCUCUAAAUAGCUGAACCCUAUCGCUAGCCUCCCAUCAAUCUCUCGGCAAACCUAUCAAUGUAGAUUAUUAAACACCUCUGCUUUCCUACGGAGUGACAGGUUUCUCCAGAUAUCUCUUGGACUCGUCCAGCCGACUUUAGUUUUAUCGGUGCCACUAUCUCCCACACUGCUGGAGCAUCUAGAUAACUUUGUUUGUGGUCCAUUGCCGGUAGAAAAAGCCCGAUUUGCCAUUAUGUACACAUCCAAUUUAAAAAGCACAGUAUAAUGAAUCGCUCACAAUCUCUUCUACAAUUUUAUUGAAAAAGACAAAUAUGUGCGCGAAGUCGUAUUACUAUCAUACAAAAUAAACACACAACACCAAGCACUGGUCGUUUUUUUUUCAUAU